rnacentral:tRNA from 1 species
UGAGAAGAGGGCUAUCGCCCAUGAGUGGAAUUACAAACCACCGCCUAUAUUCAGCCACCUUCCC